rnacentral:rRNA from 1 species
UACGUAGGGGGCUAGCGUUGUCCGGAAUCAUUGGGCGUAAAGCGCGUGUAGGCGGUCCGGUAAGUCCGCUGUGAAAGUCGGGGGCUCAACCCUCGAAUGCCGGUGGAUACUGUCGGGCUAGAGUGCGGAAGAGGCGAGUGGAAUUCCAGGUGUAGCGGUGAAAUGCGCAGAUAUCAGGAGGAACACCGGUGGCGAAGGCGGGUCUCUGGGCCGAUACUGACGCUGAGGUGCGAAAGCGUGGGGAGCAAACAGG